rnacentral:tRNA from 1 species
UCGGUGCGGGGGCGUUCUCGGUCGCCGCGUCGGGCGUGCGCUGCCCGGGUGCGGCGGUGUCCUGCGCGCGCGGUUCGUCGGCCGAGUGCUCCGGUC